rnacentral:lncRNA from 10 species
AUUUGUAACAGAGUUUCAGGGCAUAGCGUUGAGAAUGCUGAUUGGGAAAAGAAAUAGAGAAAAUCUUUUAUUACAGCUUGAGAAAAUGAAUAAUCUUCCACAAUAAAGUAUAGUAGAUAAAUUGGUGAAUUACAAAGAUUCAGCAAAAUACCAGUCCUCCUUUGCAGGUUGGGGAACUUGUAAUGGUGGAUAACUCUUCUUCUUCCUGUUAUCUGUGGGGUAAGACCUGGCUGGCAACUGUUGUCAUAUGUUUGUGUUCACAUAUGAUUAAUGUGUAGUAUGUGCUUUGUUAUCAUGGAAAUAAUAAUGAAAUAAUAUUGUGCAC